ACAAUCAUAUGCAUGUUUUACUUGAAAACAUGAUAUUCACGGCUUGUUUCAUGAUAAUAAUUUUGGCUAAAGAUGUUUUCUCUCAGGUCAUGUUGAUUCCGACAACUUCAGUGGUAGAAACAAUCCCUGGAAAGUCAUUAAAGCUGUCAUGCAGAAUAUCAGGCUUCUCCUUUAGCAGUUAUGAUGUCCACUGGAUUCGCCAGCCUCUUGGUAAAGGACUACAAUGGGUUGGCUAUCACAGCAGCUCAAUUGACAGCCGUUUCAAAGUUACAGAGGAUAGAAACAAUAAUUUGGCACUCCUGGAUAUUAGCAACGUGGCGACAGAAGAUAUGGGUGUUUAUUACUGUGCUCGAAGGCACAAUGGAACAUUAUAA